rnacentral:sRNA from 1 species
UGCUAUUCGGAGGUCUUGCAUCAUGCGA